CAACAGGGAUUGCCCCAGUAACGGCGAGUGAAGCGGCAACAGCUCAAAUUUGAAAUCCGGCCCCCGGGGCCCGAGUUGUAAUUUGCAGAGGAUGCUUCGGGCGAGGCGCCUUCCGAGUUCCCUGGAACGGGACGCCACAGAGGGUGAGAGCCCCGUCUGGUCGGACGCCGAGCCCGCGUGAAGCUCCUUCGACGAGUCGAGUAGUUUGGGAAUGCUGCUCAAAACGGGAGGUAUAUGUCUUCUAAAGCUAAAUACCGGCCAGAGACCGAUAGCGCACAAGUAGAGUGAUCGAAAGAUGAAAAGCACUUUGAAAAGAGGGUUAAAAAGUACGUGAAAUUGUUGAAAGGGAAGCGCCCGCGACCAGACUUGGGCCCGGCGGAUCACCCGGCGUUCUCGCCGGCGCACUCCGCCGGGCACAGGCCAGCAUCGGUCCGGCGCGGGGGACAAAGGCUCUGGGAACGUGGCUCCCCCGGGAGUGUUAUAGCCCACCGCGCAAUGCCCUGCGCCGGACCGAGGAACGCGCACCGCAAGGAUGCUGGCGUAAUGGUCGUCGGCGACCCGUCUUGAAACACGGACCAAGGAGUCGUCUUCGUAUGCGAGUGUUCGGGUGUCAAACCCCUACGCGGAAUGAAAGUGAACGCAGGUGAGAGCCUCGGCGCAUCAUCGACCGAUCCUGAUGUCCUCGGAUGGAUUUGAGUAGGAGCAUACGGGGCCGGACCCGAAAGAAGGUGAACUAUGCCUGCGUAGGGUGAAGCCAGAGGAAACUCUGGUGGAGGCUCGCAGCGGUUCUGACGUGCGAAUCGAUCGUCAAACGUGGGCAUGGGGG
rnacentral:rRNA from 1 species